rnacentral:rRNA from 1 species
CUAAGUUUGAUGGCGACCGGCGCACGGGUGGGUAACACGUAUCCAACCUGCCGAUGACUCGGGGAUAGCCUUUCGAAAGAAAGAUUAAUACCCGAUGGCAUAGUUCUUCCGCAUGGUAGAACUAUUAAAGAAUUUCGGUCAUCGAUGGGGAUGCGUUCCAUUAGGUUGUUGGCGGGGUAACGGCCCACCAAGCCUUCGAUGGAUAGGGGUUCUGAGAGGAAGGUCCCCCACAUUGGAACUGAGACACGGUCCAA